rnacentral:rRNA from 1 species
GACGAACGCUGGCGGCGUGCUUAACACAUGCAAGUCGAGCGGUAAGGCCCUUUCGGGGGUACGACGAGCGGCGAACGGGUGAGUAACACGUGGGUGACCUGCCUUUAGCUCUGGGAUAAGCCUGGGAAACUGGGUCUAAUACCGGAUAUGACCCUAUGGCGCAUGUUGUGGGGUGGAAAGCCUUGUGCGGCUAGGGAUGGGCCCGCGGCCUAUCAGCUUGUUGGUGGGGUGAUGGCCUACCAAGGCGACGACGGGUAGCCGGCCUGAGAGGGCGACCGGCCACACUGGGACUGAGACACGGCCCAGACUCCUACCGGGAGGCAGCAGUGGGGAAUCUUGCGCAAUGGGCGAAAGCCUGACGCAGCGACGCCGCGUGAGGGAUGACGGCCUCGGUUGUAA